AUGGAACAAGAAGAAUAUACAAAAGAAGAAAUUGACUGGAGCUACAUCCAAUUUGUAGACAACCAGGAAAUUCUUGAUCUCAUUGAAAAGAAACCGGGUGGGAUAAUUGCUCUGUUGGAUGAGACAUGCAUGCUACGGAAUUCAACCCAUGAAACAUUUGCUGAGAAGCUAUAUCAGAAGUUCAAGGACAGCCCACAUUUCAGUAAACCCAAAUUUUCAAGAUCUGACUUCACCGUUCAUCAUUAUGCUGGACAUGUAGGUUACCUUAUUGACAUACAUGUCAAUAGUAAAUAUUAUGUUUUGUGGCUAUAUGUUUUUGAGUGGUAA
rnacentral:rRNA from 1 species